AAUUGCUAAUGGCACCUUGAUUGAUACCAACUAAAGAUUUCAGGUGAUGGUAGAUAUCAUGAAGAAAGACAGCCCUGACACUCCAAAUGACUGUGACACCUUGAGAGACACCAGCUGUCGAGACUUCAACGUGCUUGCUUUUGUGUCUGAACACUCAGAUUCUGGUUUCAAGAUGGUGCCUUGAAUGCUAUUAUCUCCUAGGGACAGAAGGGAAAAAGGCUUAUUGCUGCCCUCUAGCUCUUCUGAGAGUACUAAUCUCACGGUGAAGACAUGGCUUUCAUGACCUACCCACCUUCUGAAGACUCUGCAUCUUGAUGCUAUCGUGUUGGCAACUGAGCCCCAAAAUGAGUUUUAGAGGGGACGAGCAUUCAAUCUAUAGCAGACACACAGGUGAUAAUAGAUGCUAUAAAAUUCCUCUCAUACAAUAUAUCAAUAAUUUCAUCCAAUAUAUCAAUGCAUGAGACCAGGAGGAUAAUCAGGUAAUUUGACUUGUUAUAUUAAUAGAACUCAAGAGUACUUUAGGUUUUUUUCU
rnacentral:lncRNA from 1 species